UACGUAAGGUGCGAGCGUUGUCCGGAAUUACUGGGCGUAAAGAGCUCGUAGGCGGUUUGUCGCGUCGUCUGUGAAAACCAGCAGCUCAACUGCUGGCUUGCAGGCGAUACGGGCAGACUUGAGUACUGCAGGGGAGACUGGAAUUCCUGGUGUAGCGGUGAAAUGCGCAGAUAUCAGGAGGAACACCGGUGGCGAAGGCGGGUCUCUGGGCAGUAACUGACGCUGAGGAGCGAAAGCGUGGGUAGCGAACAGG
rnacentral:rRNA from 1 species